rnacentral:rRNA from 1 species
GAAGUGUGGACGCCAGUCUGCAUGGAGCCGACCUUGAAAUACCACCCUUUAAUGUUUGAUGUUCUAACGUUGACCCGUAAUCCGGGUUGCGGACAGUGUCUGGUGGGUAGUUUGACUGGGGCGGUCUCCUCCUAAAGAGUAACGGAGGAGCACGAAGGUUGGCUAAUCCUGGUCGGACAUCAGGAGGUUAGUGCAAUGGCAUAAGCCAGCUUGACUGCGAGCGUGACGGCGCGAGCAGGUGCGAAAGCAGGUCAUAGUGAUCCGGUGGUUCUGAAUGGAAGGGCCAUCGCUCAACGGAUAAAAGGUACUCCGGGGAUAACAGGCUGAUACCGCCCAAGAGUUCAUAUCGACGGCGGUGUUUGGCACCUCGAUGUCGGCUCAUCACAUCCUGGGGCUGAAGUAGGUCCCAAGGGUAUGGCUGUUCGCCAUUUAAAGUGGUACGCGAGCUGGGUUUAGAACGUCGUGAGACAGUUCGGUCCCUAUCUGCCGUGGGCGCUGGAGAACUGAGGGGGGCUGCUCCUAGUACGAGAGGACCGGAGUGGACGCAUCACUGGUGUUCGGGUUGUCAUGCCAAUGGCACUGCCCGGUAGCUAAAUGCGGAAGAGAUAAGUGCUGAAAGCAUCUAAGCACGAAACUUGCCCCGAGAUGAGUUCUCCCUGAGACUUUAAGUCUCCUGAAGGAACGUUGAAGACGACGACGUUGAUAGGCCGGGUGUGUAAGCGCAGCGAUGCGUUGAGCUAACCGGUACUAAUGAACCGUGAGGCUUAACCUU